rnacentral:rRNA from 1 species
GACGAACCGAGCGAACGUUGUUCGGAAUCACUGGGCUUAAAGGGCGCGUAGGCGGUCUGUCGCGUCUGCUGUGAAAACUCAGGGCUUAACCCUGAGCUUGCAGUGGGUACGGGCAGACUAGAGUGCGGUAGGGGAGACUGGAAUUCCUGGUGUAGCGGUGAAAUGCGCAGAUAUCGGGAGGAACACCAGUGGCGAAGGCGGUUGCCUGGAGCUUUGCUGACGCUGAUGCGCGAAAGCGUGGGGAGCGAUCCGG